AUAUACGGAGGCUACACAUACUUGUUGAAACAAUGUUCAGUUUUGAGGGGCUUACCUCUCUAAACUUGUUCUUUGAAAACUAGAUAUUAUCAAUUAUUUUCCUUUAAUUAUUAAGAUAAUUAAACCGAGAAACAACUGCGUAUUUUUGAGUUUUUUAAUUAGUUUAUCGCUAAAUACUCAUUUAAUUUGACAAUCACAAAGGGACCGUUAGGUUAAGUUAUGAAGGGCGCAGGGGGAAUGCCUUGG
rnacentral:misc_RNA from 1 species